GUUUUUUUCCCCUGGCUUUGUUAUUUGUCUUUUUCUUAUUGAAAUCCUAGGACCUUAAAUAUAUUUUUGGAAGAUAUGUUGACUUUUCAUCAGAAACACAGCGGAUCAUGUUUGAUAUACGUUUGAUGAAAGAAGGUCGUAUGAAAGGACAAGCUUUCAUUGGACUUCCUAAUGAAAAAGCAGCAGCAAAAGCCUUAAAGGAAGCUAAUGGAUAUGUGCUUUUUGGAAAACCCAUGGUGGUUGUAUCCUUUAAAUCCAUCUAUUUCAAAACUAUAUAAUUUUUAGAAGGAUAUAACUGAAAUUAAUUUUCAUGUUACCCUUUAGAAAUUUCCACAGUUGGCAUUCUAGCAGUAGAUAUUCAUUCGUUACAAUUAAACCCACCUUACUGAGUCAGAUGACAGUGUUAUUUAGAUUUUUAAUAAAAGAGCUUCA
rnacentral:sRNA from 1 species